ACGGAAGGCAGCAGUGGGGAAUAUUGGGCAAUGGGCGCAAGCCUGACCCAGCAACGCCGCGUGAAGGAAGAAGGCUUUCGGGUUGUAAACUUCUUUUAAGGGGGAAGAGCAGAAGACUGUACCCCUAGAAUAAGCCACGGCUAACUACGUGCCAGCAGCCGCGGUAAUACGUAGGUGGCAAGCGUUGUCCGGAUUUACUGGGUGUAAAGGGCGUGUAGCCGGGGAGGCAAGUCAGAUGUGAAAUCUAUGGGCUUAACCCAUAAACUGCAUUUGAAACUGUUUCUCUUGAGUGCUGGAGGGGCAAUCGGAAUUCCUUGUGUAGCGGUGAAAUGCGUAGAUAUAAGGAAGAACACCAGUGGCGAAGGCGGAUUGCUGGACAGAGACUGACGCUGAGGCACGAAGGCGUGGGGAGCAAACAGGAUUAGAUACCUUGGUA
rnacentral:rRNA from 1 species